AUUUACUUCUAUGUUGGCCUAAUGCUGGGAAAGAUUGAGGGCAAUAGAAGAACGGGACGACAGAGAAUGAGGUGGCUGGAUGGAGUCACUGAAGCAGUAGGUAUGAGCUUGAAUGGACUCCAGAACAUGGUAGAUGACAGGAAGGCCUAGAGGAAUGUGGUCCAUGGGGUUGCGAUCAGUCGGACAUGACUUUGCAACUAACAACAACAACAACAACAACAUGAUUUUAAAGGUAAUCUCUAAAGAAAUAGUUUAAGUAUUCAAGGCAAUCUGAAUUAUUACAUGGUUUAUUCAGUAUUGCAAAAUGUUGUU